AUGGGGCUCCUGGUUCAGAGAUCUUCAGGACAAGUCACCAUAACUCAGACUCCUGGAUCUCAGUCUGUUGCUCCAGGACAGCCUGUCUCUAUUCAAUGUAAAGUCAGUCCAAGUGUAAAUUACUGUUUCAACUGGUACCUUCAGAAACCAGGAGAAGUUCCAAAACUCCUUAUUAAAUGCGCAAGCACCCGUCAUUCUGGAAUCCCUGAUCGUUUCAGUGGAUCAAACUCUGGGAAUACUGACCUCACUCUGACUAUCAGUGGAGUUCAGGCUGAAGAUGCUGGAGUUUAUUACUGUCAGAGUCGUCACUACAUCAACAGCAAGUGGAUGUUCACACAGUGA